GCCUCUUUAGUUCAGUGGCAGAACAACGGUAUCGUAAACCGUGAACACCAGUCCGAUUCUGGUAGGAGGCU
rnacentral:tRNA from 1 species